rnacentral:rRNA from 1 species
GACCCUCUGCUGCCGCGAGGUGGCAACCACACCCUCUGUCUACCUGUACCUCUUGUUGUUUCCUCGGCAGGCCGCUUACGCCAGCCGCUAGGAAUACCUUAAAACCCUUGUAUCUAAAGUAUCUAAAACUCUGAUAACAAAACAAACAAAUCACAACUUUCAACAAUGGAUCUCUUGGUUCUGGCAUCGAUGAAGAACGCAGCGAAAUGCGAAAAGUAGUGUGAAUUGCAGAAUUCCGUGAAUCAUCGAAUCUUUGAACGCACAUUGCGCCCCUCGGUAUUCCGUGGGGCAUGCCUGUUCGAGCGUCAUUAUCACCCUCAAGCUCUGCUUGGUGUUGGGCGCCUGUCCCGCCUCAGUGUGCGGACUCGCCCUAAAGCUAUUGGCAGCGGUCGUGCCAGCUUCUAGCGCAGCACAUUUGCGCUUCUUGAAGCUAUGGUGGAUCAGCAUCCAGCAAGCCCUCUAUAGUUUGACCUCGGAUCAGGUAGGGAUACCCGCUGAACUUAAGCAUAUCAAUAAGCGGAGGAAAAGAAACCAACUGGGAUUGCCCUAGUAACGGCGAGUGAAGCGGCAACAGCUCAAAUUUGAAAUCUGGCUCUCUAUGGGGGUCCGAGUUGUAAUUUGCAGAGGGUGCUUUGGUGUUGGUGGCGGUCUAAGUUCCUUGGAACAGGACAUCGCAGAGGGUGAGAAUCCCGUUUGUGGUCGCAUGCCUUCACCGUGUAAAGCCCCUUCAACGAGUCGAGUUGUUUGGGAAUGCAGCUCUAAAUGGGAGGUAAAUUUCUUCUAAAGCUAAAUACUGGCCAGAGACCGAUAGCGCACAAGUAGAGUGAUCGAAAGAUG